GAUGAACGCUGGCGGCGUGCCUAAUACAUGCAAGUCGAGCGAACAGACGAGGAGCUUGCUCCUCUGACGUUAGCGGCGGACGGGUGAGUAACACGUGGAUAACCUACCUAUAAGACUGGGAUAACUUCGGGAAACCGGAGCUAAUACCGGAUAAUAUAUUGAACCGCAUGGUUCAAUAGUGAAAGACGGUUUUGCUGUCACUUAUAGAUGGAUCCGCGCCGCAUUAGCUAGUUGGUAAGGUAACGGCUUACCAAGGCAACGAUGCGUAGCCGACCUGAGAGGGUGAUCGGCCACACUGGAACGGAGACACGGUCCAUGCUCCUACGGGAGGCAGCAGUAGGGAAUCUUCCGCAGUAGGCGAGAGCCUUACGGAACAGCGCCGCGUGAGUGAUGAAGGUCUUCGGAGCGUAAAACUCUGUUAUUAGGGAAGAACAAAUGUGUAAGUAGCUAUGCACGUCGUGACGGUACCUAGUCAGAAAGCCACGGCUAACUACGUG
rnacentral:rRNA from 1 species